rnacentral:rRNA from 1 species
GCAGCCGCCGCGGGAAUACGGAGGGUGCAAGCGUUAUCCGGAUUUAUUGGGUUUAAAGGGUCCGUAGGCGGACUUAUAAGUCAGUGGUGAAAGCCUGUCGCUUAACGAUAGAACUGCCAUUGAUACUGUAAGUCUUGAGUAUAUUUGAGGUAGCUGGAAUAAGUAGUGUAGCGGUGAAAUGCAUAGAUAUUACUUAGAACACCAAUUGCGAAGGCAGGUUACCAAGAUAUAACUGACGCUGAGGGACGAAAGCGUGGGUAGCGAACAGGAUUAGAUACCCCCGUAGUCCCUGUCUCUUAUAC